UACAGAGGUUGCAAGCGUUGUUCGGAAUAACUGGGCGUAAAGGGAGCGCAGGCGGUCCGGUAAGUCUAAAGUGGAAGCCCGGGGCUUAACCUCGGAAGUGCUUCAGAUACUGCCGGUCUCGAGUUCGUGAUAGGAGAGCGGAAUUCCAGGUGUAGCGGUGAAAUGCGUAGAUAUCUGGAGGAACACCGGUGGCGAAAGCGGCUCUCUGGCACGAUACUGACGCUGAGGCUCGAAAGCAUGGGGAGCGAACGGG
rnacentral:rRNA from 1 species